GACGAACGCUGGCGGCGUGCCUAACACAUGCAAGUCGAGCGAAUGAAGUUCCUUCGGGAACGGAUUUAGCGGCGGACGGGUGAGUAACACGUGGGCAACCUGCCUCAUAGAGGGGAAUAGCCUUCCGAAAGGGAGAUUAAUACCGCAUAAGAUUGUAGUACCGCAUGGUACAGCAAUUAAAGGAGCAAUCCGCUAUGAGAUGGGCCCGCGGCGCAUUAGCUAGUUGGUGAGGUAACGGCUCACCAAGGCGACGAUGCGUAGCCGACCUGGGAGGGUGAUCGGCCACAUUGGGACUGAGACACGGCCCAGACUCCUACGGGAGGCAGCAGUGGGGAAUAUUGCACAAUGGGGGAAACCCUGAUGCAGCAACGCCGCGUGAGUGAUGACGGCCUUCGGGUUGUAAAGCUCUGUCUUCAGGGACGAUAAUGACGGUACCUGAGGAGGAAGCCACGGCUAACUACGUGCCAGCAGCCGCCGUAACAC
rnacentral:rRNA from 1 species